rnacentral:rRNA from 1 species
AUUGAACGCUGGCGGCACGCCUAACACAUGCAAGUCGAGCGGCAGCGAGACUAGUAGCAAUACUAGUUGUCGGCGAGCGGCGGACGGGUGAGUAACACGUAGGAAUCUGCCCUUAAGCGGGGGAUAACCAAGGGAAACUUUGGCUAAUACCGCAUAAUCUCGAGGGAGCAAAGCUGCCCGCAAGGGUGGCACUUGAGGAGGAGCGUGCGUCCGAUUAGCUAGUUGGUGGGGUAAUGGCCUACCAAGGCGAUGAUCGGUAACUGGUCUGAGAGGACGACCAGUCACACUGGGACUGAGACACGGCCCAGACUCCUACGGGAGGCAGCAGUGGGGAAUUUUGGACAAUGGGGGCAACCCUGAUCCAGCCAUGCCGCGUGAGUGAAGAAGGCCUUCGGGUUGUAAAGCUCUUUCGGCCGGGAAGAAAUCGCACAGGCUAAUACCCUGUGUGGAUGACGGUACCGGCAUAAGAGGCACCGGCUAACUACGUGCCAGCCGCCGCCGUAAGAC